GACGAACCGUGCGAACGUUGUUCGGAAUCACUGGGCUUAAAGGGCGCGUAGGCGGGCGGUCAAGUCCGGGGUGAAAUCUUUCGGCUCAACCGGAAAAGGGCCUCGGAUACUGACUGUCUUGAGGAAGGUAGGGGCAUGCGGAACUUCCGGUGGAGCGGUGAAAUGCGUUGAUAUCGGAAGGAACGCCGGUGGCGAAAGCGGCGUGCUGGACCUUUACUGACGCUGAUGCGCGAAAGCCAGGGGAGCGAACGGG
rnacentral:rRNA from 1 species